rnacentral:rRNA from 1 species
UACGUAGGGACCGAGCGUUGUCCGGAUUUAUUGGGCGUAAAGAGCUCGUAGGCGGCUCGUCGCGUCGACCGUGAAAACCCGCGGCUUAACUGCGGGCUUGCGGUUGAUACGGGCGGGCUAGAGUUCGGUAGGGGAGACUGGAAUUCCUGGUGUAGCGGUGAAAUGCGCAGAUAUCAGGAGGAACACCGGUGGCGAAGGCGGGUCUCUGGGCCGAUACUGACGCUGAGGAGCGAAAGCGUGGGGAGCGAACAGG